UACGAAGGGUGCAAACGUUGCUCGGAAUUAUUGGGCGUAAAGCGCACGUAGGCGGCUUGUCAAGUCGGAUGUGAAAUCCCUCGGCUCAACCGGAAAAGGGCCUCGGAGACUGCUCGUCUGGAGGGAGGUAGGGGCAGGUGGAACUGCUGGUGGAGCGGUGAAAUGCGUUGAUAUCAGCAGGAACGCCGGUGGCGAAAGCGACCUGCUGGACCUCUUCUGACGCUGAGGUGCGAAAGCUAGGGGAGCAAACGGG
rnacentral:rRNA from 1 species